ensembl:snRNA U6 U6 spliceosomal RNA
GUGCUUGCUUUGGCCACACAUAUACUAAAAUUGGAAUGACACAGAGAAUAUUAGCAUAGCCCCUGUGUAAGAAUGACAUGCAAACUUAUGAAGAGUCUAUACUUUUU